GUGUCAGCAGCCGCGGUAAGACGUACCACCCGAACGUUAUUCGGAUUUACUGGGCUUAAAGAGUCCGUAGGCGGCCAAGUAAGUUGGAUGUGAAAUACCUCGGCCUAACCGAGGAACAGCAUUCAAAACUACUUGGCUUGAGAGAGACAGAGGUGAGCGGAACUGAUGGUGGAGCGGUGAAAUGCGUUGAUAUCAUCAGGAACACCGGUGGCGAAAGCGGCUCACUGGGUCUCUUCUGACGCUCAGGGACGAAAGCUAGGGGAGCGAACGGGAUUAGAAACCCUAGUAGUCC
rnacentral:rRNA from 1 species